rnacentral:rRNA from 1 species
GUGCACCAGUCGAGAAACCUCCGCAAUGCGGGAAACCGCGACGGGGACCCGAGUGCCGUGGCAAUGCUACGGCUUUUCCGGUAGUGUAAAAGCUCCGGGAAUAAGGGCUGGGCAAGGCCGGUGGCAGCCGCCGCGGUAAUACCGGCGGCCCGAGUGGUGGCCGCCUAUUAUUGGGCCUAAAGCGUCCGUAGCCGGGCCCGUAAGUCCCUGGCGAAAUCCCACGGCUCAACCGUGGGGCUUGCUGGGGAUACUGCGGGUCUUGGGACCGGGAGAGGCGAGGGGUACCCCUGGGGUAGGGGUGAAAUCCUAUAAUCCCAGGGGACCGCCAGUGGCGAAGGCGCCCCGCUGGAACGGGUCCGACGGUGAGGGACGAAGGCCAGGGGAGC